rnacentral:rRNA from 1 species
UACGUAGGGGGCAAGCGUUGUCCGGAUUUAUUGGGCGUAAAGAGCGUGUAGGCGGCCGUACAGGUCAGCUGUGAAAACUCGAGGCUCAACCUCGAGACGUCGGUUGAAACCGUAUGGCUAGAGUCCGGAAGAGGAGAGUGGAAUUCCCGGUGUAGCGGUGAAAUGCGCAGAUAUCGGGAAGAACACCCGUGGCGAAGGCGGCUCUCUGGGACGGUACUGACGCAUGAGACGGCGAAAAGCGGUUGGGG